rnacentral:rRNA from 1 species
GGCGCGAAAGCGUGGGGAGCAAACAGGAUUAAAUACCCUGGUAGUCCACGCCGUAAACGAUGAGUGCUAAGUGUUAGAGGGUUUCCGCCCUUUAGUGCUGCAGCUAACGCAUUAAGCACUCCGCCUGGGGAGUACGGUCGCAAGACUGAAACUCAAAGGAAUUGACGGGGGCCCGCACAAGCGGGGGAGCAUGUGGUUUAAUUCGAAGCAACGCGAAGAACCUUACCAGGUCUUGAAUCCUCUGACAACUCUAGAGAUAGAGCGUUCCCCUUCGGGGGACAGAGUGACAGGUGGUGCAUGGUUGUCGUCAGCUCGUGUCGUGAGAUGUUGGGUUAAGUCCCGCAACGAGCGCAACCCUUGAUCUUAGUUGCCAGCAUUUAGUUGGGCACUCUAAGGUGACUGCCGGUGACAAACCGGAGGAAGGUGGGGAUGACGUCAAAUCAUCAUGCCCCUUAUGACCUGGGCUACACACGUGCUACAAUGGAUGGUACAAAGGGCUGCAAGACCGCGAGGUCAAGCCAAUCCCAUAAAACCAUUCUCAGUUCGGAUUGUAGGCUGCAACUCGCCUACAUGAAGCUGGAAUCGCUAGUAAUCGCGGAUUCCAGCAGCCGCGGUAAUACGUUCCCGGGCCUUGUACACACCGCCCGUCACACCACGAGAGUUUGUAACACCCGAAG